rnacentral:misc_RNA from 1 species
GAUGAAGAACGCAGCGAAAUGCGAUACGUAAUGUGAAUUGCAGAAUUCAGUGAAUCAUCGAAUCUUUGAACGCGUAUUGCGCUCUCUGGUAUUCCGGAGAGCAUGCUUGUUUGAGUAUCAGUAAACACCUCAACUCCCUUUUCUUGUUUGAAAUUGGAGCUGGACUUGAGUGAUCCCAACGCUUUCUUCCAAGAAAGUGGCGGGUUGCUUGAAAUGCAGGUGCAGCUGAACUUUUCUCUGAGCUAUAAGCAUAUCUAUUUAGUCUGCCUAAAAAACAGAUUAUUACCUUUGCUGCAGCUAACAUAAAGGAGACUAGUUCUUGUGCUGACUGAUGCAGGAUUCACAGAGACAGCUUCGGCUGACUUUGUAAACUCGAUCUCAAAUCAAGUAAGACUACCCGCUGAACUUAAGCAUAUCAAUAAGCGGAGGA